rnacentral:lncRNA from 1 species
AAGGAUUCAUCGUGUUUGACGAUACGGAGGCGCCUCCACCUCCUGUUCUUCAUGUGGAGGGCGGAUCUGGAGUCCGUUCUAAGCUCCGGAGAGGGGAAAAUCGUCGUCAUCGUCAUCAUCAACCUUCCUCCAUCGCCAAUUCCAUGAUGCUCUUCACCGUUCGUGAGUAAUCUCAUCGUAGGCUUGCUGGACGAUGAUGAGUUGGAUGAGAUCUAUCAUGUAAUCGAGUUAGUUUUGAC